CACAGUGUUUCACACACCUCUGAAUUUUCCCAGCUGCUGGGAGUAGAUGCUUCAUCUGAGGGAUUUGAAAAAAAAAAAAAAAAAAAAAAAGGACAGACUUGUGUACCUGUAUGAAUUUUGUCCAUCCAGCUGUUCUGUUUAGAUAACAAUGAUAAAGCCAAAACAAGCUGAAGAUCCUUGGCCAUAGGGUCAUGUAGCACCACUACCUUUCAACUCCUUUAAAUCCCUUGUCAGUCAUCAGCCUGAACUGAAUCUUGCAGCAGAACCAAAGCACUCUGCAAAGACUGAGUCAUAAAACAUUUCUGACUCCUCGUGGAUUAUUGCUUGAGCAGCUGCAUGUGAUAAAGUUACAGAAUCUCAUAUACUAUAGGAGAUGAAGUUGUAAUGCUGUAUGCAAAAGGCAGUCUUUGAUCUUGUCUUUGAAUUGGUGCCUGCAUAUUAAUCUUACUAGUACCUACUACCAACCCAAAUACAAAGAUGCAGGUGACAUGGUAUGAUUGUGAUUUUGCAAAUCAGCCCUUAUGUGUGAUAACUGAAAGGUUCCUUAAGUAAGCUUCCUUCAUUUUCUUUCCACUGUACUUAAGAAACACAUGCAUUUCUUGUUAACACAGCUGGUGGCCUAUCAGUCUUGAGAGCAGUUAGCAGGCCUUGGAGAAUCAUUUCUAAUAUGGAAAAUGUUGUGGAAAGCCACUCUGGGGCUAGAUUCCGCACUCCAAGUGCCCUUGGAGAAGCUAUUGAAAAAAAUGUAUUGGCUGAAAGCUGAGCAGUGCAGGAGAGUUUGGGAGCCAUUCCAGCCCCCAUUCCCCCAUGGGUCAUCCGAUUAGUGAGACAGUGCAUUUUAAUCUUCUCACUGAGGCCACAGCUUGCUGCCAUUUACUAAUUACAUAAGUGAGAGUGGACAACACCAAACCUGGCAUCUGCCACAGAGGACAGAUAUACUGACAAAUACUGCGUGUCACCCUGCAGCCCUAGCCGUGCUAGGGACCUGCAGAAACACCUUCUGCAGGUGGUUCAGAGGCAUGCAGGGAUCUGUGCCAAGGAAAAAUUCCUCCUAAAUAAUUCACUUCCUGGUGGAGAGAGAGAGAGGGACAGAGACUGCCACUGAAGCAGAAGAAAAAGCUGAAUGGCAAAAUCAGAAUGAGGGAAAAUAGGCAUGUCAGCAAGGACCACACCUGUUCGUAAGUGAAGGAUGUCUUGGUGUAACCAAGCAUCUGUCUCUUGGAGCUGAGUACAAACCGGCUGGGUGCACAGGCUGAAAGGUGCACCUGAAGGGCCUUUACAGAUCUCAGCCCAAGGCAUGAGGGCCAUGAGCAUUUUCAAUUUUACAACUGUGGAACCAGAAGAAAUGCUGCCCCGGGAAAAGUGCAUGCUGCUAUACAGUGAAAUAGAUGCUGCUGUUUGAUGAGCUUUCUCCCUGCAAAAGAUCAUACACACUUCCACAGUUCUGCUCCACAGACUUGACAAUAUCGUCACAGGGGGACGAGCAGAAGCAGUGCCAGGGAAGUGGGCUGGCAGUAGUACUUCCACACAGUUGGGAUGGUUUCCUUGUGAAUCACUUCUAUUAUGAAUGAAAGCACCCAUCCCCUACACAGAAUGUGGGGAGGCAGAGGAAAAGACAAGGAUCUCUGUACUAUGGCCUCUCACACCAGGACCAUUUUGUGAAUGACUUUGAGUACUUGGUGGAUUGCAUUUAUAUUAAGCCAAGGUCAGAGGAAAGGAGAUUCUCUUUAAUUACGGGGGGGUUAUGUGCUAUUCCAUCCCCACUGUUCAUUUUUCAAGGGCUUUGGAGGUAAGCUACAUAUUCAAGGCUUAGGAGAGUUCAGCCCAGGGGAAAUUUCUGUGACUCCAUGCACACGUUUUUCUUCAAUGUUCAGUAACGAAUGCCCUAGAAGGGUUGUCUUCUGUGUACACCUCACCACCUCUGAUGGCUGUGGUCCUGGAAUGGCAGGAGAGCCACUGCAAUGCAGGUUCUGUCUGCAUGCUCCGCACCGAAAAGCAUGCUCUGAGCAUUCUCAUCCAGUUUUCUCAUACCCCUUUAUGCCAGAGGGAGAAAUGAAGUAGAGAUCCCCUCACUCAAACUGCAGCCAGAAUGAAGCCCAUCUUUGAUUUCAUCCCAUUUUCUUUUUCCCAUUGAUCGUUUGCAGCUCUCUGCUUCCUGGCAUCCUGGCAGUAAAGCACUGCUGAGCUGAAGAGGAGAUAUACUAUCUGUUUCUUACUCAGGUGUAAGUACCCCAACACAUUUCACAGAAGCAGUGAAUUAGUCUUAGUGACAGCAUUUCAACUCAUCUCAGCCUUGGCACUAUCCUUUGGUGUAUGUCAGGAAAAGGGAGAAGAUGGUCCAGAAGAUGAAGUACUGGUGUUGGAUACUGUUCAGUUCCAUCCUCUGGCACAGCCUCCCUGCUGUAACUAUCAGUUAGCAUAUUCCUCAUCCACAUGGCAGAGAUGGGAUGAGAAAUAAGAGAUUUCACUCCUUCACUACAGAUUAUUGGCUGAAAUCCAGGGUGCCUUGAACACGCAGCACUUGGAUUUAGGUUCAGCACUGAACUGUGCUUCACCACUACCUGUGGACAGCACUGCCAGUCUGGCACAAGUCUGUGGUGCAGCCAUGUGAGCAGGAACAGAGCUGAAACUCCAGAAAUGCCACAAAAUUAUUUAAAAAUUUAGUACGAAUUGUAUAUCAAGAUUCACUGCCUUAAUAGCAUAGAGACAUAUUUGUUAAUAAGUAUAAAUAUAUAUCACUAACAGAACCUAUUCUCCUUCUCCCCCAAAAUAAGAAUAUAUAUAUAUAUAUUUAAAAAAAAAAAAUAAAGUAUUUGAUAACAGUAGAAGAAAGCUGAAUUGAAUUAGCAAGGAAAUGUUCAUUUACAAAUGCUAGUAAAACCGAGGGAGGUAUAUAUCUGUGCACAUUAUGCUGUAGGUUAUGUUGCUAAGUCCCAUGUUCACUAAAAUGCUUAAAGAUUCUUAGUAUUAGGCACAGAAACAUGAAAAUAGCAAAAAUAAGUUACACCGAAUUAAAAAUAAAUAAAUAAAUAAAUUCCUGCCAUCAAAGGUGAACAUGGAACAUGUUCAUGGAGCAUGCUGUCUAAAGAUUUAUCUAGAGGCUUGGACUGACAAAGGAAUGAAAGAAAAAGGGUAAUAUGCAAGUGCAAAAAGAAUGAUAUGUCAGAUAUUCAGUGCUGAGGGUGGUGGUACAGUCUGCAAAAUCCUAGAGAAGCAAACCACUCUGCAGUCUAAGGUGAACCCAGAGCAAGCUUUCUCUAGUUACUUCAGAACAGUCAUUGAAAUCUUUCUAAUUCAGGAACUGAAUUAUUGGGACGGCCAUCAAAAAGUUCAAGAAUACACCAAGAAAGGCCUUCUAGACUUCCUUUGAAGUAUGUUUGCUGAAGUAUUCCUGUGUUGGGCAGUUAAUUGAAUUGAGGUCUUUGGUUCAUUGGGUUGAACCUGAAUGUUUCCCUUGAAAGAAUUUCAUUGAGGAAACUCUUCAGAGUGCUUUCUUGCUUCUCUAAUAAAGUUUAGUAGCUUGAAACUGAACAUUUGUUUAAUUUUUAUCCACUCAUGUGAGGUCUUUCCUGUCAGGUUGUUUGUAAGGUUCAAAGGCACAUCUGAGGGGAUUUUGUAGAGGCCAGGUUUUGUUUUUGUAUUUGUUUUUGGCAAAGAGAUGAUGAUUUAAAUAUUUUUUCUAAGAUCAGUUUUGCUGUAUAAGCUCUACAUAUGCAAACAACAGAAGCCAGAAACGCUUAGCUGGAUUUCAUAAAUCCAAAAAGAUACAAAUAAGAUUUUUCCAUUAAAAUUUUCUUUUACAAGUCAUUUGAUAUGAAGUCUGUUACAAUACAUUGAUACUGAAGCUUGUUGGCAAGAAAAUCUUUUCAUCCUUAAGCAGCAGAGGGAGCUCUGCUGACAUAAUUAGCCAUAGUCCCGGGCUUCUGCAGCUGUGAAUGUAGACUUUUAUGUGCUACAUAUUCCUGACAUCUGCAGAGAAGAAAAUCUUGGAAAUACACUGAACUGUGAUAUCAGCCUUAGGGAAGUGGCAGAACAUGUCUAAGAAGUAACCAAUGAGAUGAAAAAGUAAAUUGAGAGAAAAAAAAAUAAUAAUUCAAAUGCUCUUAGACAUUUGAACUCUUGGGCACUAAAAAGACCGAGAGACUUUGCAGGUUGAUGGGAUGCAUGCUUCUCAGGCAUUUUAACAUUUCUGAAGAUUGCAUUUUUUCAUUUCAAGAAUGUGGGGCAUUCCAAUCAUUACUUUGGGGGCCCAGUAUGGCCUUUUCUCCAUCAUCUACAUCUUCCUACAUCAUCCUGACAAUGGCAUCAAACUCACAAAGCUUUUUGCCAUCUCCUCAAAAUACGCGCCUAUAACCUACUGACUACUCAGAGAUCUAAAUACCCUUUGACAAUAAGACACAUGCUUCUACACGUGUCUGAACAAAGGAAGAGCUUAAUCACUUAUACUUAAGCGUAUGUCCAAGCCUUUCAUAAUUCUCCUUGAAGAGAUUCACUUGUAUGUAGGCCUAUUAAUGAUGAGCAGUAAAUCCUUUGGGAGAUGAAUAUCUAGAAAACCUUUUCAUUUUGACACAUAGUCCCAAAAGAAGGAAAGAGGAAAAAAAAAAAAAUUCUCUGUACUGUUUACAUAUGUAGACAUGUUGAAUAACUUCAUAUAUGUGUGUGUGUUUCUUUGUGUAUGUAUAUAUGUAUGUAUACAAAUAAAUUCUCAUUAAGCAAUUCAACAACUUACCUGUUCCUUUUCCUACCUUACUUCCUACUCUCCUAUUCUGAGCCCAGCGACCACCAGGGGAAAUAUUUAAAUCCAAACACAAACAUUGCCUCAGAGGUCACUGCAGUGGUUUUGGUUCUCAGUCCAGGGGAGUGAGAUCGCCCAGGGCAAAGCAAAAACAAAAGAAAACUUACCUCAUUGGAAACUAUAAACUUCAGUCCCUAUUCCCAGAUGUGAGCCAGUUCCUAAAAAAUGAAGUUGUCAAAAUAACUAACCUGAGGAAUACAGGAGUGAAUACAGACUGGUUUUGGUCCUGUAGUGUUCAUACUCACUAGUUUUCAUUAGAGCCAGAAUGUUAAUAUGGAAAGAGAAGGAGAGGAGAUGAUGUGUUAGAAAAUCUGCAGCAGGGACCUCCAGGCUUUGAAGCUGUGCUUCAGGAUGCCUCCAACAUCAAGUGCCCAGUGCCUGCCUUGCUGGGGGAGCACUGUGUUUAACAGCGGCUCUUUUCGUGACUCAGUUCAACAUUUUUUUAGAUUUGGAGGCUGUCAGAAGACUGCUUCACUGGGACACGGCCUCAGUGUAUUUAUGCAGGAGACUGAUAGACACCUUUAGAGUUUGUACUGGAUGGUUAUUUUCAACUGUUCAGAUCUUAUAAGAUAAAUUCAUUUUAAUCCUCAGUGCACAUACAUUUAGCAGUCAAAUACUAUAGCAUUUAGUGUGUCAGAGAAGGGAUCCAAAUUUAAUAUCAGUGUGUUGAAAAAAACACAUCAUAAAAACAUGUAUGUCUAGUAAACAGUGUAAGGCUAGCUAGCUCAUAUAUAUGCAAAUUAUUCAACCAGUUGAAUUUCAUAUACUUCUCAUACAGGUAUAAAUGAGAGGCCAAAAUCAUUGUUGUCUUUGUAUAGAAUUAAAGAAACAUUGUUUGUAGUUUUGUUCAGUCAGUGCAUUUUAAUAUUCAAUUAUUUGCUGUUUUUAUUUGGCACAUGAAGAAAUUAGAGAAUAACAAAAAGGUCAGUAGUAAAGUUCUCAAGCUGUCUAUAAAAUAAGUGUUUUCUGAUACAUUUCCCCAAUUUCUCUGCAUGCCCAGGGGCAGGGUGAGGAAUCACAGUGCUGUAAGCAGGGAGAGCAGAAGUGGACACACAAGGGCUCGGGUAAAUGUAAAUGGGGAGGUAUUUUGAUCCUGCCUGGAGUAAAUGGGUUUCAGCACCUGGAAGGAUGUGGGCCUGUGCAGCUCUGAAGCUCCUUUCUUCCCCAGUAUUGCCCUUGGUCAUUGCUCAUCUUAGUGCUGUUAUGAAAGAAAUGAAAAUCAGCCUUGUGCUUGGCGUGAGAACUGAUCUGAAGUCUAGUAAAGGCUUCUUGGAUACUCUUCCGGUAUUGUAGUGUGCUUUGGAUUAAGAUGGUUAAAGGACCGUUUGCUUUAUUAGGUUGUUAAAUUCAUGCUUGUGCCCUUCAUUUCCCUCACUGCCACUUUGUCUCUUUAAAUUCAUGUGUUUUGUUGUUGUUGUUGUUUGUUUUAAACUAAGAGUGUUGUGCUGAAACCUCCUGAAAUCACAAAGUCUGAAGUUCCAUAUGGAUUCCCAGCAGUGGGAAUCAUGUUCCCAAAGUCGUCUCCCCCCGGCAACACUAUUUUGUGGAAAAUUCCUGAGACUGUGGGAAUCAAAUGCCACAGUCCUAAACAAAGUCUUAGGUACCCCUUGUUCAGCACUAGAGCAACUAAAGGCAAGAGCCUUGUUGUAUUGGAAACACAUGGCUUUUGGAUAUGUUGUAUUUUCUUCUUUCCCUUCCUCCUUUUUAUGUCUGCUGUUGCUUUUGCUGACUCCAUUUAUUGUGACUGACUACAAGACUAUAACAGAAUAAAUGUUCUCCAGAUCUUGGCUUAAAAAAUAAAUAAAUAAAUAAAUAAAUAAAUAAUUUCAAUUAAAAAAAAUAA